rnacentral:lncRNA from 1 species
CAGCGCUGCUGCCUUAAGCACCUACGUGCAUACAUAUACAAGGCCCCACCGGACACCAUUUGCAGUAACCAUUUGCAGGCAUAAUCCCCAUUUGUCCCUCGCCUCUCUCCUUUCCCACAGCCAUUCGGAUGCAUGGUGCUGCUUGCUGGUUGCUGGUAGUAGCUGCUGCCCACGAUGUUGUUGCUAUUCGCUUUAACUAAGUUCUUUGUCAAUUUUACGGCCCUGAAGCAUCCGUGCUAUUGGGCAUUAUGUGUGUGUUCAGUUCUGGGGAAUACGAGCAGGCAGCCUCUUUAUUCGCACUAAAGCCACGAUACAAUAAACCAACCGUC